rnacentral:rRNA from 1 species
UACGUAGGGGGCAAGCGUUGUCCGGAUUUAUUGGGCGUAAAGAGCGUGUAGGCGGCUAGGUAGGUCCGUUGUGAAAACUCGAGGCUCAACCUCGAGACGCCGGUGGAAACCAUCUAGCUAGAGUCCGGAAGAGGAGAGUGGAAUUCCUGGUGUAGCGGUGAAAUGCGCAGAUAUCAGGAAGAACACCCGUGGCGAAGGCGGCUCUCUGGGACGUGACUGACGCUGAGACGCGAAAGCUAGGGGAGCAAACGGG